GAUGAACGCUAGCUACAGGCUUAACACAUGCAAGUCGAGGGGCAGCGGUAUCGAAAGCUUGCUUUCGGUAGCCGGCGACCGGCGCACGGGUGAGUAACGCGUAUCGAACCUGCCUCAUACUCGGGAAUAGCCUUGCGAAAGUAAGAUUAAUGCCCGGUGUUUUCAGAGUCCCGCAUGAGGCUUUGAACAAAGAUUUAUCGGUAUGAGAUGGCGAUGCGUCCCAUUAGCUUGUUGGCGGGGUAACGGCCCACCAAGGCAUCGAUGGGUAGGGGUUCUGAGAGGAAGGUCCCCCACAUUGGAACUGAGACACGGUCCAAACUCCGACGGGAGGCAGCAGUGAGGAAUAUUGAUCAAUGGGCGGAAGCCUGAACCAGCCAAGUAGCGUGCAGGAAGACGGCCCUCCGGGUUGUAAACUGCUUUUAGUUGGGAAUAAAACGGGGCUCGUGAGCCCCCUUGCAUGUACCAUCAGAAAAAGGACCGGCUAAUUCCGUG
rnacentral:rRNA from 1 species